rnacentral:tRNA from 1 species
AAGAUAUUAGUAAAAUAAUUACAUAACUUUGCCAUAGUUAAAUUACAAGCUCAAUUCUUGUAUAUCUUA